rnacentral:rRNA from 1 species
UGCAGUCGAGCGCACCUUCGGGUGAGCGGCGGACGGGUUAGUAACGCGUGGGAACGUACCCAGAUCUACGGAAUAGCCUCGGGAAACUGAGAGUAAUACCGUAUACGCCCUUCGGGGGAAAGAUUUAUCGGAUUUGGAUCGGCCCGCGUUAGAUUAGUUAGUUGGUGGGGUAACGGCCUACCAAGACUACGAUCUAUAGCUGGUUUUAGAGGAUGAUCAGCAACACUGGGACUGAGACACGGCCCAGACUCCUACGGGAGGCAGCAGUGGGGAAUCUUAGACAAUGGGCGCAAGCCUGAUCUAGCCAUGCCGCGUGAGUGAUGAAGGCCUUAGGGUCGUAAAGCUCUUUCGCCAGGGAUGAUAAUGACAGUACCUGGUAAAGAAACCCCGGCUAACUCCGUGCCAGCAGCCGCGGUAAUACGGAGGGGGUUAGCGUUGUUCGGAAUUACUGGGCGUAAAGCGCGCGUAGGCGGAUCGGAAAGUUGGGGGUGAAAUCCCGGGGCUCAACCCCGGAACUGCCUCCAAAACUAUCGGUCUUGAGUUCGAGAGAGGUGAGUGGAAUUCCGAGUGUAGAGGUGAAAUUCGUAGAUAUUCGGAGGAACACCAGUGGCGAA